GCACCUGUGGCGGAAUUGGCAGACGCACUAGAUUUAGGAUCUAGCGGGAGACCGUGCAGGUUCAAGUCCUGUCAGGUGCACCA
rnacentral:tRNA from 1 species